rnacentral:rRNA from 1 species
UACGUAGGGUGCAAGCGUUAAUCGGAAUUACUGGGCGUAAAGCGUGCGUAGACGGUUAUUUAAGUCAGGUGUGAAAGCCCCGGGCUCAACCUGGGAAUUGCAUUUGAGACUGAAUAGCUAGGGUGCGGAAGAGGGAAGCGGAAUUUCCGGUGUAGCGGUGAAAUGCGUAGAUAUCGGAAGGAACACCAGUGGCGAAAGCGGCUCCUGGUCCAGCACCGACGUCAGGCACGAAAGCCGUGGGGAGCAAACAGG